GAUGAACGCUGGCGGCGUGCCUAAUACAUGCAAGUCGAGCGAACGGACGAGAAGCUUGCUUCUCUGAUGUUAGCGGCGGACGGGUGAGUAACACGUGGAUAACCUACCUAUAAGACUGGGAUAACUUCGGGAAACCGGAGCUAAUACCGGAUAAUAUUUUGAACCGCAUGGUUCAAAAGUGAAAGACGGUCUUGCUGUCACUUAUAGAUGGAUCCGCGCUGCAUUAGCUAGUUGGUAAGGUAACGGCUUACCAAGGCAACGAUGCAUAGCCGACCUGAGAGGGUGAUCGGCCACACUGGAACUGGGACACGGUCCAGACUCCUACGGGAGGCAGCAGUCGGGAAUCUUCCGCAAUGGGCGAAAGCCUGACGGAGCAACGCCGCGUGAGUGAUGAAGGUCUUCGGAUCGUAAAACUCUGUUAUUAGGGAAGAACAUAUGUGUAAGUAACUGUGCACAUCUUGACGGUACCUAAUCAGAAAGCCACGGCUAACUACGUG
rnacentral:rRNA from 1 species